CUCACCUUGGGUUUGAGACCUGUUGAUUACCCUUAACCUGGUUUAGCCUGUCUGCCAAGAUGGUCUUACCAGGGUGUAGCUGCUGUUCAUCCUACAGCUUCUUGGAGCCACAGCUGGAAAAUUGUUCCUUGGCUCUCUCUGGAUGUCUGCCUCAUGCAUUCAGAUUUGUGACCAAUGAAGAUCAGUACCUUCUGUGCAGCUUGGAGUCUCAGAAAAUUGCCUGGAACCAUUGACACAUUAGUUAAUUUGCCCAGGAACAAGGGGCUACCUGUGUGUC